rnacentral:lncRNA from 1 species
ACUGGUCACUCGACCAAAAUCAUAGACACAUAGACAGGUACGAGCUGUUAUUGGAUUCGAACUGGUAACUCGACCGAUAACAUUGAAAAGUAAACGGGUGCAAGUUGUUCUUGGAUUCGAACUGGUUACUUGACCAAACAUAAGCAAAUUGAUAGGUACAAGCUGCUCUUGGAUUGAGCUGGGCACUUGACCAAACAAAAACAUAUUGACAGGUACAAGCUGCUCUUGGAGUGAGCUGGGCACUUGAUCGAUAACAUAUGCAAAUUGACAGGUACAAGCUGCUCUUGGAUUGAGUUGGGCACUUGACCAAACAGAAACAUAUUGACAGGUACAAGCUGCUCUUGGAGUGAGCUGGGCACUUGACCGGGGAUAAAGACAAAUAGACAGGUACGAGUUGUUCUUGGAUCCGAACUGGUCACUCGACCAAAAUCAUAGUCACAUAGACAGGUACGAGCUGUUCUUGGAUUCGAACUGGUAACUCGACCGAUAGCAUAAGCAAAUUGACAGGUACAAGCUGCUCUUGGAUUGAGCUGGUCACUUGACCGGGGAUAAAGACAAAUAGACAGGUACGAGUUGUUCUUGGAUCUAAACUGGUCACUCGACAAAAAUCAUAGACACAUACACAGGUACGAGCUGUUCUUGGAUUCGAACUGGUUACUUGACCAAACAUAAGCAAAUUGAUAGGUACAAGCUACUCUUGGAUUGAGCUGGGCACUUGACCAAACAGAAACAUAUUGACAGGUACAAGCUGCUCUUGGAGUGAGCUGGGCACUUGACCGAUAACAUAGG